ACAAAAAAUAUAAAGACUGGCACAUAUGACAAAAUUAUUACACACAUAAUAACUUGAAAUAUCAAUCUCACCCCCAACCAAUAUUAUUCUAAGGCCACAUUUAUUCUACCAACCUAACAAGCCCUAUCCCACACACAACACAACAUUUUUUUUGAACAAACACACAACACAACAUUGCUUCAAAAGUUCGGACCAGCAGCGAGAAUUUCUUCGGUGAGGUUGUCAUUACCCGUUCCAAUUUUGUAGUUGGUGAAGGUUUCAAAAUUCUUCUUGAACAAUCCAGCCAGCUUCAACAAUGUCUCAUUGUAGGAAUAUUUGU
rnacentral:lncRNA from 1 species